rnacentral:snRNA from 14 species
AGAGUUGGUUUGGCUGAUCUUGUUUACUAGGCAGGUGGCCCCUCCCUCUAUUCUAACUCCAUUUAAAAGCUAUAUUCACCAUCCAAAAGAGAAUAACCUUCCCCAGUAGAAACCUGUUCUUUGACCAUGUAUGUAUGAGUAACUGUGCUUAUGGUCUCAAACUUUAAAAAGCCACCAUGGUCCAUUUGUAGGAGAACAGAGGGUAGUCAAGCUUCCAAGACUCCAGACAUUACCAGAUGUGACACUACAUGGGAAAAAAUUGUCAUAUUAU